GACUGUGGGGGAUAAGCUUCAUAGUCGAGAGGGAAACAGCCCAGAUCGCCGGUUAAGGCCCCUAAGGGUGUGCUAAGUGGAAAAGGAUGUGGGAUCGCGAAGACAGCCAGGAGGUUGGCUUAGAAGCAGCCAUCCUUGAAAGAGUGCGUAAUAGCUCACUGGUCGAGUGGUUCUGCGCCGACAAUGUAGUGGGGCUCAAGCACACCGCCGAAGCCGCGGCAAUAAUAUUUUGUUAUUGGGUAGGGGAGCGUCGUGCACGUGUUGAAGCGUUACCGUGAGGAGGCGUGGAGUGUGUGCGAGUGAGAAUGCAGGCAUGAGUAACGAAUUGGAAGGUGAGAAUCCUUCCCGCCGGAUGACUAAGGGUUCCUGGGUCAAGUUCGUCUUCCCAGGGUGAGUCGGGACCUAAGGCGAGGCCGACAGGCGUAGUCGAUGGACAACCAGUUGAUAUUCUGGUACCCGAGUAUAUGCGCCCCUGAUAAAGCACUGAUACUAACCACCGUAAGCUGUUGUGAUUGACCCUUUGGGGUUAACAUGGUGGCAAGCCGUGGGGCCUGAUGUGUGGUUCAAGCGAUGGGGUGACACAGUGGGGUAGCCAUGCCGCUUAGUGGAUUGUUGGUGUAAGCGUGUAGGUGAUGGUGUAGGUAAAUCCGCACUUGUUAUGCUGAGACGUGAUGCGUAGCCUUAAUUGGUGAAGUUGGUGAUCCCGUGCUGUCGAGAAAAGCCUCUAGCGAUGUAUAUACUCGGCCCGUACCCCAAACCGACACAGGUAGUCAGGUUGAAAAUACUAAGGCGUUCGGGUGAACUGUGGUUAAGGAACUCGGCAAAAUGCCCCCGUAACUUCGGGAGAAGGGGGACCCUAUGGCGUGAACACCCAUUUGCGGUGGGAAGCGUUGUGGGGUCGCAGAGAAUAGAGGGAAGCGACUGUUUAUCAAAAACACAGGUCCAUGCGAAGACGUUAAGUUGAUGUAUAUGGACUGACGCCUGCCCGGUGCUGGAAGGUUAAGAGGACCGGUUAAUCAAGCU
rnacentral:rRNA from 1 species